rnacentral:rRNA from 1 species
GACGAACGCUGGCGGCGUGCCUAAUACAUGCGAGUUGAGCGCUGAAGGUUGGUACUUGUACCGACUGGAUGAGCAGCGAACGGGUGAGUAACGCGUGGGGAAUCUGCCUUUGAGCGGGGGACAACAUUUGGAAACGAAUGCUAAUACCGCAUAAAAACUUUAAACACAAGUUUUAAGUUUGAAAGAUGCAAUUGCAUCACUCAAAGAUGAUCCCGCGUUGUAUUAGCUAGUUGGUGAGGUAAAGGCUCACCAAGGCGAUGAUACAUAGCCGACCUGAGAGGGUGAUCGGCCACAUUGGGACUGAGACACGGCCCAAACUCCUACGGGAGGCAGCAGUAGGGAAUCUUCGGCAAUGGACGAAAGUCUGACCGAGCAACGCCGCGUGAGUGAAGAAGGUUUUCGGAUCGUAAAACUCUGUUGGUAGAGAAGAACGUUGGUGAGAGUGGAAAGCUCAUCAAGUGACGGUAACUACCCAGAAAGGGACGGCUAACUACGUG